rnacentral:rRNA from 1 species
AGUGAACGCUGGCGGCGUGCUUAACACAUGCAAGUCGAGCGAGAACGGGUUAUAGCUUGCUAUAAUUGUCAGCUAAGUGGCGCACGGGUGAGUAAUGUAUAGGUAAUAUGCCUCUUACUAAGGGAUAACAACUGGAAACGUUUGCUAAUACCUUAUACUCCUUAUUAACAGAAGUUAAUAAGGGAAAGAUUUAUUGGUAAGAGAUUAGCCUGUAUUGUAUCAGUUAGUUGGUGGGGUAAUGGCUUACCAAGACUAUGACACAUAACUGGUUUGAGAGGAUGAUCAGUCACACUGGAACUGAGACACGGUCCAGACUCCUACGGGAGGCAGCAGUGGGGAAUAUUGCACAAUGGACGAAAGUCUGAUGCAGCAACGCCGCGUGGAGGAUGACACAUUUCGGUGCGUAAACUCCUUUUAUAUGAGAAGAUAAUGACGGUAUUAUAUGAAUAAGCACCGGCUAACUCCGUGCCAGCAGCCGCCGUAA